GAUUACCAACGCAUUUUAGGCGCAUAAAUUGUGGAUCUCAUCAAAACUCCACAGUUAAAUGUGUUUAGAUGGGAGUAGUAAUAUUAUGGGUAACCUCGUGGAAAGUCUCCACUAUGGUAACCA
rnacentral:rRNA from 2 species